rnacentral:rRNA from 2 species
CCGUAACCGACGCUUCAUCGAGCGUGAAAUCGAGUAGGGCGGGACACGUGAUAUCCUGUCUGAAUAUGGGGGGACCAUCCUCCAAGGCUAAAUACUCCUGACUGACCGAUAGUGAACCAGUACCGUGAGGGAAAGGCGAAAAGAACCCCUGUGAGGGGAGUGAAAUAGAACCUGAAACCGUGUACGUACAAGCAGUAGGAGCACCUUCGUGGUGUGACUGCGUACCUUUUGUAUAAUGGGUCAGCGACUUAUAUUCAGUGGCAAGGUUAACCGUAUAGGGGAGCCGUAGCGAAAGCGAGUCUUAACUGGGCGCUCAGUCUCUGGAUAUAGACCCGAAACCGGGUGAUCUAGCCAUGGGCAGGUUGAAGGUUGAGUAACAUCAACUGGAGGACCGAACCGACUAAUGUUGAAAAAUUAGCGGAUGACUUGUGGCUAGGGGUGAAAGGCCAAUCAAACUCGGAGAUAGCUGGUUCUCCCCGAAAGCUAUUUAGGUAGCGCCUCGGACGAAUACUACUGGGGGUAGAGCACUGUUAAGGCUAGGGGGUCAUCCCGACUUACCAACCCUUUGCAAACUCCGAAUACCAGUAAGUACUAUCCGGGAGACACACGGCGGGUGCUAACGUCCGUCGUGGAGAGGGAAACAACCCAGACCGCCAGCUAAGGUCCCAAAGUAUUGCUAAGUGGGAAACGAUGUGGGAAGGCUCAGACAGCUAGGAUGUUGGCUUAGAAGCAGCCAUCAUUUAAAGAAAGCGUAAUAGCUCACUAGUCGAGUCGGCCUGCGCGGAAGAUGUAACGGGGCUAAGCAAUACACCGAAGCUGCGGCAAUAUCUUUUAGAUAUUGGGUAGGGGAGCGUUCUGUAAGCCGUUGAAGGUGAAUCGUAAGGUUUGCUGGAGGUAUCAGAAGUGCGAAUGCUGACAUGAGUAACGACAAAGGGGGUGAAAAACCUCCUCGCCGGAAGACCAAGGGUUCCUGUCCAACGUUAAUCGGGGCAGGGUGAGUCGACCCCUAAGGUGAGGCCGAAAGGCGUAAUCGAUGGGAAACGGGUUAAUAUUCCCGUACUUCUGACUAUUGCGAUGGGGGGACGGAGAAGGCUAGGUGGGCCAGGCGACGGUUGUCCUGGUUCAAGUGCGUAGGCUUGAGAGUUAGGUAAAUCCGGCUCUCUCUAAGGCUGAGACACGACGUCGAGCUACUACGGUAGUGAAGUCAUUGAUGCCAUGCUUCCAGGAAAAGCCUCUAAGCUUCAGAUAGUCAGGAAUCGUACCCCAAACCGACACAGGUGGUCGGGUAGAGAAUACCAAGGCGCUUGAGAGAACUCGGGUGAAGGAACUAGGCAAAAUGGUACCGUAACUUCGGGAGAAGGUACGCUCUUGAUGGUGAAGUCCCUCGCGGAUGGAGCUGACGAGAGUCGCAGAUACCAGGUGGCUGCAACUGUUUAUUAAAAACACAGCACUGUGCAAAAUCGCAAGAUGACGUAUACGGUGUGACGCCUGCCCGGUGCCGGAAGGUUAAUUGAUGGGGUUAGCGCAAGCGAAGCUCUUGAUCGAAGCCCCGGUAAACGGCGGCCGUAACUAUAACGGUCCUAAGGUAGCGAAAUUCCUUGUCGGGUAAGUUCCGACCUGCACGAAUGGCGUAAUGAUGGCCACGCUGUCUCCACCCGAGACUCAGUGAAAUUGAAAUCGCUGUGAAGAUGCAGUGUACCCGCGGCUAGACGGAAAGACCCCGUGAACCUUUACUACAGCUUGGCACUGAACAUUGAACCUACAUGUGUAGGAUAGGUGGGAGGCUAUGAAGACGUGACGCCAGUUGCGUUGGAGCCGUCCUUGAAAUACCACCCUUGUAUGUUUGAUGUUCUAACUUAGACCCAUUAUCUGGGUUGAGGACAGUGCCUGGUGGGUAGUUUGACUGGGGCGGUCUCCUCCCAAAGAGUAACGGAGGAGCACGAAGGUGGGCUAAUCACGGUUGGACAUCGUGAGGUUAGUGCAAUGGCAUAAGCCCGCUUAACUGCGAGAAUGACGGUUCGAGCAGGUGCGAAAGCAGGUCAUAGUGAUCCGGUGGUUCUGUAUGGAAGGGCCAUCGCUCAACGGAUAAAAGGUACUCCGGGGAUAACAGGCUGAUACCGCCCAAGAGUUCAUAUCGACGGCGGUGUUUGGCACCUCGAUGUCGGCUCAUCACAUCCUGGGGCUGAAGUCGGUCCCAAGGGUAUGGCUGUUCGCCAUUUAAAGUGGUACGCGAGCUGGGUUUAGAACGUCGUGAGACAGUUCGGUCCCUAUCUGCCGUGGGCGUUGGAAGAUUGAAGGGGGCUGCUCCUAGUACGAGAGGACCGGAGUGGACGAACCUCUGGUGUUCGGGUUGUGUCGCCAGACGCAUUGCCCGGUAGCUAAGUUCGGAAUUGAUAAGCGCUGAAAGCAUCUAAGCGCGAAGCGAGCCCUGAGAUGAGUCUUCCCUGAUACUUUAAGUAUCCUAAAGGGUUGUUCGAGACUAGAACGUUGAUAGGCAGGGUGUGUAAGCGUUGUGAGGCGUUGAGCUAACCUGUACUAAUUGCCCGUGAGGCUUAACCAU